AUUGAACGCUGGCGGCAGGCCUAACACAUGCAAGUAGAACGAGUGGCGGACGGGUGAGUAAUGUCUGGGCAACUGCCUGAUGGAGGGGGAUAACUACUGGAAACGGUAGCUAAUAACGCAUACCAUACGAUGUGCCCAGAUGGGAAUUGAUUGUUGGUGGGGUAACGGCUCACCAAGGCGACGAUCCCGCGCUGGUCUGAGAGGAUGACCAGCCACACUGUAACUGAGACACGGUCCAGACUCCUACGGGAGGCAGCAGUGGGGAAUAUUUCACAAUGGGCGCAAGCCUGAGGCAGCCAUGCCGCGUGUAUGAAGAAGGCCUUCUGGUUGUAAAGUACUUUCAGCGGGGAGGCGUUACCCGCAGAAUAAGCACCGGCUAACUCCGUGCCAGCAGCCGCGGUAAUUC
rnacentral:rRNA from 1 species